rnacentral:rRNA from 1 species
GCAUAUCAAUAAGCGGAGGAAAAGAAACUAACAAGGAUUCCCCUAGUAACUGCGAGUGAAGCGGGAAAAGCUCAAAUUUAAAAUCUGAUGGUCUUUAUGGCCUUCCGAGUUGUAAUCUAGAGAAGUGCUAUCCGCGCUGGACCGUGUACAAGUCUCCUGGAACGGAGCGUCAUAGAGGGUGAGAAUCCCGUCUUUGCCACGGACUACCAGGGCUUAUGUGAUGC